AGGCAGCAGUGAGGAAUAUUGGUCAAUGGACGAGAGUCUGAACCAGCCAAGUAGCGUGAAGGAUGACUGCCCUAUGGGUUGUAAACUUCUUUUAUAUGGGAAUAAAACAGGGUAUGCAUACCCUCUUGUAUGUACCAUAUGAAUAAGGAUCGGCUAACUCCGUGCCAGCAGCCGCGGUAAUACGGAGGAUCCGAGCGUUAUCCGGAUUUAUUGGGUUUAAAGGGAGCGUAGGUGGAUUGUUAAGUCAGUUGUGAAAGUUUGCGGCUCAACCGUAAAAUUGCAGUUGAAACUGGCAGUCUUGAGUACAGUAGAGGUGGGCGGAAUUCGUGGUGUAGCGGUGAAAUGCUUAGAUAUCACGAAGAACUCCGAUUGCGAAGGCAGCUCACUGGACUGCAACUGACACUGAUGCUCGGAAGUGUGGGUAUCAAACAGGAUUAGAUACCCUGGUAGUCCACACAGUAAACGAUGAAUACUCGCUGUUUG
rnacentral:rRNA from 1 species